rnacentral:lncRNA from 1 species
UGAAAAUCACCGAGGGCGACCUGUGGAUCCGCACGUACGGCCGCCUCUUCCAGAAGCUCUGCUCCUCCAGCGCCGAGAUCCCCAUUGGCAUCUACCGGACAGAGAGCCACGUCUUCUCCACCUCGGAGCCCCACGACCUCAGAGCCCAGGUAAGCAACCCCUCCGUGCCCACGCAGCUUCUGCGGAGCACCAGAACAUCGCAGCUUCACAUGGAGAAGCCUGCCAGGCCCCACCCACCCACAGGGCCCUGGGAAAGCCGAGGCAGGAGCGGGUCCCAUGGAUGUGUCGGCCCCAGCACGGCUCAGAGAAGGCUGUUGACAGUCACUCCCUCCUGCACUGGUGGUGGGGAAGCUGAGGCCUGGGGGGAGUAGCCUGUGAGUUUGGACACCAGGUGCACCCCCGCCCCCUCCCAGGCCCCACCAAGGCAGGCAGCCCCCAUGCCCAUCUGGCCUGACCAUCCAGCCCCCAGCCUCCCAGGCCUUUCUGAAGGUGCCACCCCGGUGGGGAGCCUACCUCUUCCCAGCACCCCACGACCCACAGGCUCUGGCACCCCACAUUCCCCAGGUUCGGGGCCUCCAAAGGGUGUGUUUGCAAGAGGGAUCAGGGCUCAUCUGCAGAUGGAGAAAUUGACACGCAGAGGGGGUGACCUCUCAGGGCAAGGCCAGGAUGUGCUGGGGUCCAGAUGGGUCCCAGGCCGGACCCACAGAAAUAAGGGCUCAGAGAGGUGAAGGGAGCUGCCCUCAGCAGCCUGGCGAAUCCCUUGACCAGGCCCGGGCAGGGUGGAUGGCCCGGCGAUCUGUGCUCAGGAGGAAACCAGGCACACGCACCCUGGGGUCUGUCGUCAUCCUCUUCCCUAACACCCCCAGCUGCUCCCACGCAGGCCCCAAGCCGCAGAGCCCACACCUCUUCCUAAGCCCCUGCCCCAAAGCCCACGACCCUCCCGGCAGCCUCACCCCUCCCUGCCCUGCCCAGUCCCAGAUCUCGGUGAACGUGGAGGACUGUGAGGACACACGGGAAGUGAAGGGGCCCUGGGGCUCCCGCGCUGGCACCGGAGGCAGCUCCCAG